ensembl:lncRNA
AUGAAAGAUCCCAAGACUGCCAUGAGUCCUGGGAGCACCUCCCCAAAGUCCCUAAACUCCCCAAAGUCCCUAAACUCCCCAAAAAGCUCAUCACUGAAGAGCCCAUCCAUUUCCCUCUUUACUGCAAGGGUCUUUUCCUCACCAAAAAAACUAUUCUACUCCCCACUAAGCCCUCCAGAGGUACUCCCCCACACCAUUACCCACAUCACUGAUGAAGAGCCCCCGGCAGUCCCAACAACUCCACCACCUCCAACAACUCUACCACCACCACCUUCUCCAACAACUCUACCACCACCACCUCCUCCAACAACUCUACCACCACCACCGCCCACCAUCUCCAACAACUCUAACCACACCACCCUCCUCCAACAACUCUACCACCACCACCACCUCCUCCAACAACUCUACCACCACCACCACCUCCUCCAACACUCUACCACAACCACCUCCCCAACAACUCUACCACCACCACCUCCUCCAACAACUCUACCACCACCAACCCUCCUCCACAACUCUACCACCACCACCUCCUCCAACACCCACCACCAACAACUCCACCUCAUCCACCACCACCUCCAACAACAACUCCACCACCACCUCCAACAACUCCACCUCCAACAACAACUCCACCACCACCACCUCCAACAACUCCACCACCACCACCUCCAACAACUCCACCACCACCACCAACAACUCCAAUGCCCCAAGUUUCAAUCAGUGAGAUCAGGUCAGUCCUGCCUCCAACCCAGACUCUCCUCUCCAUACCUAACAGGAGUGUGACCAAGGGCCUGUGUUCGUACUGCUGUCAACCGAUGGUGGCUGGAGCCAACAAUCCUGGAGGAUCUACAGAUCUACAGCCACCAUCCUGCUUCAAGGUAAAGCAACACACCAGUCUAUUCAACAUAUAUCUAUGUGUGUCCCAAUUGCCUCUCCUAAGCUCUUUAAACUGCACUACUUCAGACCAGGCCCAAUGGAUCCUAUAGGCUCUGGUCAAAAGUAGUGCACUAUAUAGGGAAUAGUGUGGCAUUUUCACACACCACAGUACGUCUCACAUGUCACACGUCUAUCUAUUCAACACACAUCUACAGAACGUCUACAUGUCUAUCUAUCAAAACACAUCUACAGGACGUCACGUCUAUCUAUUCAACACACAUCUACAGUACAUCUACACUCUAUCUAUCAACACACACUACAGAACAUCUACACAUCUAUCUAGUCAACACAAUCUACAGAAGGUCUACACGUCAUCUAUUCAACACACAUCUACAGUACGUCUAUCUAUUCAACACAUUACAGGACGUCUAUCUAUUCACACACAUCUACAGGACAGGACGUCUACACGUCUAUCUAUUCAACACACAUCUACAGAACUCGCUACACGUCUAUCUAUUCAACACACACAUCUACAGGACGUCUACACGUCUACUACAGGAAGUCCACACAUCUAUCUAUUCAAACACACAUCUACAGGACGUCUACACGUCAUCUAUUCAAAACACAUCUACAGGAAGUCACACAUCUUCCACAUAGUUGUGCUGUAGUGAUAACUGGAUAUGCCCUCUAGAUGUGUAUCAUGUGUGCAGUCAGGCAGGCAGUCAGUCAUCAGUAGGCAGGCAGUCAGUCAAUCAGUUGGCAGUCAGUCAGUCAAUCAGUUGGCAGUCAGUCAGUCAGUCAAUCAGUAGGCAGGCAGUCAGUAAUCAGUUGGCAGUCAGUCAGUCAAUCAGUUGGCGUCAGUCAGUCAGUCAAUCAGUUGGCAGUCAGUCAGUCAGUCAUUUGGCAGUCCAGUCAGUCAAUCAGUUGGCAGUCAGUCAGUCAAUC